GACCGCACUGACUGGACAGCCAAACGUGAAGACGCUCAACCCCUCAUCAUGAACGUCCACGAGAGGACCAACAGAGGGUUUGCAGGCGAGUGGGGACGCUCAAGAGACUCCAAGUUCGUAAACUUUCUCCGCUUCCAAGCCCCCUGUGUUUUAUCAAACAGUGUGGAAUUCGUCAACAAGAAGGGUGUCAAGCAGUACUUCUCUGCCUUGUUU
rnacentral:misc_RNA from 1 species